rnacentral:rRNA from 1 species
CCUACGGGUGGCUGCAGUGGGGAAUAUUGGGCAAUGGGCGCAAGCCUGACCCAGCAACGCCGCGUGAAGGAAGAAGGCUUUCGGGUUGUAAACUUCUUUUAAGAGGGAAGAGCAGAAGACGGUACCUCUUGAAUAAGCCACGGCUAACUACGUGCCAGCAGCCGCGGUAAUACGUAGGUGGCAAGCGUUGUCCGGAUUUACUGGGUGUAAAGGGUGCGUAGGCGGAUUUUUAAGUCAGCGGUAAAAUGUCCGGGCUCAACCCGGGCCGGCCGUUGAAACUGGGGAUCUUGAGUGGGCGAGAAGUAUGCGGAAUGCGUGGUGUAGCGGUGAAAUGCAUAGAUAUCACGCAGAACUCCGAUUGCGAAGGCAGCAUACCGGCGCCCGACUGACGCUGAGGCACGAAAGCGUGGGGAUCGAACAGGAUUAGAUACCCUUGUAGUC